UUCAGUCGGACAGCUUUGAAUAUUUCGCUCAUCAGUUCUGCCCUCUGUAUGUAGGCCUGUGCAUUCAGACCCUUUGUGGUGAUGGAUUUCACUAGCUGGAGGAGGUUGUUGGAAUCCUCAUUGCAAACAAUAUUUUCAAAAGUUACACUAUCACAGUCCACUUUGAGUCUUUUCCCUCUCACAGAUGGAUCUGCAUGGAGCCAUUCAGGACAAGGAGAGAGGUAUGAACUCCUCUUCCUCUUUUUGGGUGGAACUGCUAAGCCUCUCCAGUUUUCAACAGCUUCUUCAUCUGUUGGAUGGAUGUUUGUGACAGUGUCAGACUUCCCAGAGCAGGAAGCAUCCAUCUCUGGCCUUCCAUCAAUCCUGCAGGUUGUG